rnacentral:snRNA from 1 species
UCUCAAUCUUGGGAAGGAUAU